GAAUUCAACUCCUACGGGAGGCAGCAGUGAGGAUUAUUGCGCAAUGGGGGAAACCCUGACGCAGCGACGCCGCGUGAGUGAGGAAGGCCUUCGGGUCGUAAAGCUCUGUCAAAGGGAAAGAAGUGCAUGAUGGCUAAUACCUGUCAUGUUUGACGGUACCCUUAAAGGAAGCACCGGCUAACUCCGUGCCAGCAGCCGCGGUAAUACGGAGGGUGCAAGCGUUGUUCGGAAUCACUGGGCGUAAAGGGCGCGUAGGCGGUUUGAUAAGUCAGAUGUGAAAGCCCACGGCUUAACUGUGGAAGUGCAUUUGAAACUGUCAGACUUGAGUAUCAGAGGGGAAAGUGGAAUUCCCGGUGUAGAGGUGAAAUUCGUAGAUAUCGGGAGGAAUACCGGUGGCGAAGGCGACUUUCUGGACUGAUACUGACACUGAGGUGCGAAAGCGUGGGGAGCAAACAGGAUUAGAUACCCUAGUAGUCCAGGCGUU
rnacentral:rRNA from 1 species